CCAAUAGCGUAUAUUAAAGUUGUUGCAGUUAAAAAGCUCGUAGUUGAAUUUCGGGGUUAGUAGGCUGGUCGUGCCACUGGCGCGUACUGGUCUCACGGACUCCUCCUUCCUGAUGAACUGUAAUGCCAUUAAUUUGGUGUUGCAGGGAAACUGGACUGUUACUUUGAAAAAAUUAGAGUGUUUAAAGCAAGCUAACGCUUGAAUACAUUAGCAUGGAAUAAUGAAAUAGGACGUUCGAUCCUAUUUUGUUGGUUUCUAGGAUUGACGUAAUGAUUAAUAGGGAUAGUUGGGGGCAUUAGUAUUCAAUUGUCAGAGGUGAAAUUCUUGGAUUUAUUGAAGACUAACUACUGCGAAAGCAUUUGCCAAGGAUGUUUUCAUUAAUCAAGAACGAAAGUUAGGGGAUCGAAGACGAUCAGAUACCGUCGUAGUCUUAACCAUAAACUAUGCCGACUAGGGAUCGGAUGAUGUUAAUUUUUUUAUGACUCAUUCGGCGCCUUACG
rnacentral:rRNA from 1 species